rnacentral:rRNA from 1 species
CCAGACUCCUACGGAGGCAGCAGUGGGGAAUCUUCCGCAAUGGACGAAAGUCUGACGGAGCAACGCCGCGUGAGUGAUGACGGCCUUCGGGUUGUAAAGCUCUGUUAAUCGGGACGAAAGGCCUUCUUGCGAAUAGUGAGAAGGAUUGACGGUACCGGAAUAGAAAGCCACGGCUAACUACGUGCCAGCAGCCGCGGUAAUACGUAGGUGGCAAGCGUUGUCCGGAAUUAUUGGGCGUAAAGCGCGCGCAGGCGGAUAGGUCAGUCUGUCUUAAAAGUUCGGGGCUUAACCCCGUGAUGGGAUGGAAACUGCCAAUCUAGAGUAUCGGAGAGGAAAGUGGAAUUCCUAGUGUAGCGGUGAAAUGCGUAGAUAUUAGGAAGAACACCAGUGGCGAAGGCGACUUUCUGGACGAAAACUGACGCUGAGGCGCGAAAGCCAGGGGAGCGAACGGGAUUAGAUACCCCGGUAGUCCUGGCCGUAAACGAUGGGUACUAGGUGUAGGAGGUAUCGACCCCUUCUGUGCCGGAGUUAACGCAAUAAGUACCCCGCCUGGGGAGUACGACCGCAAGGUUGAAACUCAAGGAAUUGACGGGGGCCCCGCACAAG